GUGGUUGUGGCUCAGUGGUAGAGCGCUCCCCUAGUGUGGGUGGGGCAUUGGGUUCGAUCCUCAGCAUCACA
rnacentral:tRNA from 1 species